CGAGGCUGGGGAGCGCUGAGCCGCGCGUCGUGCCUUGCGCUGCCCAGACUAGCGAACAAUACAGUCAGGAUGGCUAAAGGUGACCCGAAGAAACCAAAGGGCAAGAUGUCUGCUUAUGCCUUCUUUGUGCAGACGUGCAGAGAAGAACAUAAGAAGAAAAACCCGGAGGUCCCUGUGAACUUUGCAGAAUUUUCCAAGAAGUGCUCUGAGAGGUGGAAGACGAUGUCCGGGAAAGAGAAAUCUAAAUUUGAUGAAAUGGCAAAGGCAGAUAAAGUGCGCUAUGACCGGGAAAUGAAGGAUUAUGGACCAGCUAAGGGAGGCAAGAAGAAGAAGGAUCCUAAUGCUCCCAAAAGGCCACCGUCUGGAUUCUUCCUGUUCUGUUCAGAAUUCCGUCCCAAGAUCAAAUCCACAAACCCCGGCAUCUCUAUUGGAGACGUGGCAAAAAAGCUGGGUGAGAUGUGGAAUAAUUUAAAUGACAGUGAAAAGCAGCCUUACAUCACUAAGGCAGCAAAGCUGAAGGAGAUGUUCACUGUUGUCCAGCGCCUCAUCAUGCCCCCGCACGUGGCCGACUCCAGGGAGGUUUGGAGAAGAGCCUUUAGCCCAAGUUACUAUGACCUUUGA